UUGCAUGUGGUUCUCUGCAAAGCGUACAAGUCUUUCGCCUUUUACUAAAGACUUCCGUGCAGAGGAGCAGCGCUUUGUCAGUUGCAUUUUUUGCCAGGCUCUGCCACUGGUAAAGCCU
ensembl:snRNA U5 U5 spliceosomal RNA